AUGAAAGAAGAGACUGGAGGCUCGCUUCGCUCCCCAGCGAGAAGAAACAAAAACCCAACUAAAACCCAACGCGAGAGCAAGGUCAGGGCAGGGGAGCGAAGACCCGAGUGCAAUUUACGGGCUCCGCAUCGGCACUCGCCCGGACAUGUGGCACCGCCGACGUCUUCCCUUGCGCUCCGGGGACGCACGCUGCAUACUAAUGGACAGCAAGACCAGCCGUCCGCGAGCCCGCACGCCUCCUCCCGCGGGGCAGCGCGGCGCUGCUCGGGGCUGCCGGCGCCUUGCCAGGCCCGGAGGCUGCGGGAGCCCGCGGGGCCGGGCCGGGCCCCACCGUGCAAACUUAGCGCGGCUCCCGCCCGGCCCCGGCCCCAGCCUCGGCCCCGGCCCCACUCCCGUGAGGGAGCCGCGGGCAGCGCGGCCCGGGGCUGGGGGCUGGGGGCCGGGCGGUCGGGGCCGGGGCCGGGGCGCGCAUCCCGCGGCACCGCCGGUGUCCCCCUGACGAGAGUUAGGCCCUGCUGGGCGCCCCCCGCCGUACCUCGGGAUCUCUUCAGCGCAAUGGGGUCCUUCUCCUGUUCCGCUGACAUUACAGACAGCGGCGCAUGGCUCCCAGGCGGCAGGAAUCGGGGCUCUUUGAUGCUGACUCCGCCGCCGCCGCCGCCGCCGGCCCGCACCCCGCCCCCUCCGCCUCCGCCUCCUCCACCGCCGCCACCGCCCCCGCCCGCCGCUGCCGUAACCGCCGCCCGCUCGGCGGAGCCGCCGGACUUUGCAAAGUUUGGCAGUGGGGGGGCUCCGCCGCGGCAGGGAGCGGGGCUGCGGGCACCCGCCCGCCCGCCGCCGGGACGGGCCCCGCGCCGGCGGAGGGGAGGCGAGGCCGGCGCCCGGCGCGCGGCCGUUAGGACCGUUAGGGCCGGGGGGGGGGGCACAGCGGGGGGCUCCUGCCCUGACUGGAAGCGCCGGGGCCGGGCGCGCGGCUCCCCCUCAGCGCGACCCCCGCGGCCAGCGCCGUCCCGCUCCGUGCGGCUCACGGCGCCGGCUUCUCGCAGCCUCCCGGGCACUCACACAACGCCGCAGGCAGGCAGGCAGGUCCGGGCUGCUGCGGGGAGCCCCCGCGGGCAGCCCCCUCCAGCCAGAGCCCCGGGGUAG
rnacentral:lncRNA from 1 species